rnacentral:rRNA from 1 species
UACAGAGGUGGCAAGCGUUGUUCGGAAUUACUGGGCGUAAAGGGCGCGUAGGCGGUUCGAUAAGUCCUGUGUGAAAUCCCUCGGCUCAACUGAGGAACUGCACGGGAGACUGUCGGGCUUGAGUUCGGGAGAGGGAAGCGGAAUUCCGGGUGUAGCGGUGAAAUGCGUAGAUAUCCGGAGGAACACCGGUGGCGAAGGCGGCUUCCUGGACCGACACUGACGCUGAGAAGCGAAAGCAUGGGGAGCGAACAGG